GACGAACGCUGGCGGCGUGCUUAACACAUGCAGGUCGAACGGAAAGGCCCUGCUUGCAGGGUACUCGAGUGGCGAACGGGUGAGUAACACGUGGGUGAUCUGCCCUGCACUUCGGGAUAAGCCUGGGAAACUGGGUCUAAUACCGGAUAGGAGCCAUUUUUAGUGUGAUGGUUGGAAAGUUUUUUCGGUGUAGGAUGAGCUCGCGGCCUAUCAGCUUGUUGGUGGGGUAAUGGCCUACCAAGGCGGCGACGGGUAGCCGGCCUGAGAGGGUGGACGGCCACAUUGGGACUGAGAUACGGCCCAGACUCCUACGGGAGGCAGCGGUGGGGAAUAUUGCACAAUGGGCGCAAGCCUGAUGCAGCGACGCCGCGUGGGGGAUGACGGCCUUCGGGUUGUAAACUCCUUUCGCUAGGGACGAAGCUUUUUGUGACGGUACCUAGAUAAGAAGCACCGGCUAACUACGUG
rnacentral:rRNA from 1 species